CAGAAGGAAUUUGCCAGAUCUUUCUUGUUAUGUGGUUGCUGAAGCAUUUUCCUGGCACAGCAGUGGUGAUUGAUGAACACACUUCAGGCUUGAGCCACAGAACAGGGUGAGGAUUUACAGUUCUGGAGGAGAAGUAUGAAUGGGAUUGAAGGAUUUACAUGGAGGACUCUAAACUUCCCUUCCUGAGUCAGGAAGGAUAGGUGAGUGAACUAUGGGAUAAUUUGUAAUUAACUUGGUUCUUACUUAAGAAGAUCUUUAGUCAAAACAGGAAGAUACAAUUCAGAUGAAUGUAUAUAAGAACAGAACAGACUUCAGAUACUGCAGACACACCCC
rnacentral:lncRNA from 1 species